AGCAUUUUUCGAGGCAUUUCAU
rnacentral:miRNA from 1 species